GACACCACCUUUCAAAAAUUAUAAAAAGAGACACCGUGUAAAUUAGAAGUCACCACCUUGCUGCUACUAACUCUUCCGGCGACGAUUCCCGACAAAAACCCAUAAACCCUAAUUCAACUUUCGCCGCCGAUCAAUCUGCCCAAGUAUCUGUUGCUAUAGACAUUGCGACCUGCUAUGUUAAGGUGGAUGACAAUGGAUCUGGUGGGUGUUUCACGAGAUGGAUACGUGUUGAUGGGAGAAAAUAUGGUUUUUUUUUUUUGGAAAAUGUUGGACUGACAUCAUCUUUUCUAUUUUAGUGAUGCUGUUGUACGUAAUUUCUUUUGCCUGACAACUAUGAUGUUCAUAACUUGGAAUGAUAGUUGUAAUCUAUAGGAUUGCUUGCAUGCAUUACUCAACUGUAGGCUGUUUGACGGUCUGCAUUCAUUAUUAUCUUUUCAAAGAUGUUCUUUUAUUUAUUGUUAUGUGGUUUUACUUGUAAAUGGGCUAACUUGUAUGACUGUACACAACACCAAAUAUUGAUGCUUACAUUUUUGGUUUUGCUUGUAUUGUAAGUUGUUCAUGUACAUUGCCUUCCUGGUGCUUCAUUUGCAAUAAAUACUUUCUUUACCUGAACCGUCUCCCCAAAAGAAAACGGGUAGCUUGGGGGAGGUGGGGUGGGUUGGAGUGGAGAGAGACAUGAAAUAUGUUUUUGUUGAUCACUGUUGUAUGUAGAGAUGUUUUGAUUAUUUAUUCUUGCUAAAGUUGAGCCGGAACAUAAAUUUUGGUGCUUAGAUACUUUAAGGUCAGCUUAUGGAGACAGUAUAUGUGCCUGUUUCUUUCAUCUUCUGUCAUGCUUCAUUUUUUUCUGGCCAUUUUAACUACGGUUUUGGCCAUCAAAUCUGCCCAGGUAACUCAAACAAUUACCUAGUGAUUCAAUUAACAUUGCCCCUCACCUUAACCCUUUUUUGUGGUAUCUGAAUAUAAGAUAGUUUUAGGUAGCAUUUGUUAAAAUUAGGCCAACUAUAUUUGAGUUUGAAUUAGAAAUGUAGGAUUGUUCUGUUUUGUAUAUUCGAGUUGCUGUCUAGUAGUUGUAACUCUGGAGCAUUCACCAUAUAUGUACAUGAGCGACAUCAAGAUACAGCCAGAUGAUAUGCAUGCUUUCUCAGCAAGGUUUGGUUUUAAAGAAGAGGCUCUGAGCUCUAUUUCUGACGUUUCUUUGUUGGAAAUUGUUAGUAAAACUCACAGGAGACCAAAUGGAUAUCGUAAGGUUUUGAAGCCAUUGUUUACAGAACGACAAGUGUUAGUACCUUGGAAUUGAUGAUUGUAGGCAGGAUGUUUGUACAACAGUCAUUAUUCAUGAAGUAUUGUACAACCAACCAGCUCGAAGGAAGCAAAUGCACUCCAACCCAAAGAAGGUCUUGCAUGCUCUGAAAAAGUCUCUGCUGAGAAUCGCCCUUGUGCAUCCCAGUGUCUCCUUCAAAAUUGUUGAUAUUGAAAGUGAGGAUGACCUGCUUUGCACACAUGCUUCUCCGUCUCCAUUGCUGGUAUUGUCCAGUGAGUUUGGAAUUCAUCUGAGUUCCCUUAACAAAGUGAAUGCAAGUGAUGGUUCAUUCAAGCUCUCAGGCUACAUUUCAGGUCCUGAUGUUUACACAAUGAAGGUCCUUCAAUAUUUCUGUAUCCACUUGUUACUAGUAUAUUUUCCUGACAAAGAAAAACGGAAGACCAAUCUUUGUGCUUCUUACAUUGAGAAGUGAAGUAGAUCUCAGAUAUAUCCACAGGUUAUGUUGAACCUAAAUUGUCCAACAUCUUUAAAUGAUUUUACUUUGGAGCCUUCAAAAACCUCUGUGGAAUUUAGGUUCAUAUGUACUGGUCAUAACAAACAGUGAAUGUGUUGGAUCUUACUUCGGGCACCCUAAAGUUUCAUCGAUGAAUUUUUUCCUUGCGAUCAGUCUCUCAAGAACACUGCUGCUGAACAAAAAACAUGGAAGCUCAGUUUUCUGCACUGCUUAAAGUCGUAGAGCGGACUCCCGGUCUGUACUUCUCUUAUGAUGCCAAUAUAACGCUGAGGUACUUUCUAUUAAAUGAGAAAGGUAAGAAAGUUGAAUUGCAACUUGGAGUUUUAAAGACCAACUGUAUUGACUGCUUUGACCGUACAAAUGUAAAACAGAGCAUAUGCUAGGCUGUAAAUGUCUGAAUUCCAACUGAGAAGGCUUGGUUCUUUCAAUGCUGAAGAAACUUUUAGCUCACACCCCAACCUUGACGAAAGCUUAAACUUUUGUGGGCCAGCCGCGGUACUCUAGCUUUAAAGGGUGUUUUUGUCAGGCACUCGAAUGUGGAGAAGAGGGGCUGAUUCUGAUGGAUUUGUUGCAAAUUUGAGGAAAGCGAGCAAAUUAUCCAGUUGAAAGGGUAUACAACAUCAUUUGUUCAGGUUUAUAACUUCCUCUGUCAAAAGGAAAAGAUUGAAUCCACGAAUGGAGUAGCACUCGAGCUAUGAAGCAGUAGAUAAUAUCUCGCAUCAAUACCAUGAUAAGAAAAUGGACCUUGGGCCUAACUCAAUCCAAAAUAUAGCUCGGAGGCGAGAAUUUCCAAAGGCCGUAUAACAAGAUCAAGUCCCCCAACCCACCAUCUUUUGGCUAGCAAGAGGAAGGGAAGGUUGGGAAAUUCACAAAUCUUAAAUGAAAUGCUUGAGCUUUGCUGAAACAUCACAUAUUAGAAUGCUUUGUAGUUUAUGUGAUGGAUAAGUGCAUCUGUACAUUUUUUCACUUUUUGUCGAGAUAUUCUGUUAUUAUAUUAAAAAGUGUGUGUUUUGUUGGUCAGA